rnacentral:rRNA from 1 species
AACCUGGUUGAUCCUGCCAGUAGUCAUAUGCUUGUCUCAAAGACUAAGCCAUGCAUGUCUAAGUAUAAGUUUUAUACAGCGAAACUGCGAAUGGCUCAUUAAAACAGUUAUAGUUUACUUGAUAAUUACUCUUACAUGGAUACCCGUGGUAAUUCUAGAGCUAAUACAUGCUGAUUUGCCCGACUUUUUGGAAGGGCGGUAUUUAUUAGAUAACAACCAAUAUUCCUUGUGUCUAUUGUGGUGACUCAUAAUAACUGAUCGAAUCGCACGGCUAUUGCCGCGAUAAAUCAUUCAAGUUUCUGCCCCAUCAGCUGUCGAUGGUAGUGUAUUGGACUACCAUGGCAAUAACGGGUAACGGAGGAUUAGGGUUCGAUUCCGGAGAGGGAGCCUGAGAAACGGCUACCACAUCUAAGGAUGGCAGCAGGCGCGUAAAUUACCCAAUUCUGGUUCAGAGAGGUAGUGACAAGAAAUAACAGACCGAUACUAUGUAACGGGGUUGCAAUGAGCCGAAUUUUUCUUCCCUUGGUGAGGAGCAAUUGGAGGGCAAGUCUGGUGCCAGCAGCCGCGGUAAUUCCAGCUCCAAUAGC